rnacentral:rRNA from 1 species
AGAGUUUGAUCCUGGCUCAGGNNGNANGNNGGNGGCGUGCUAACACAUGCAAGUCGAACGNNNAGAAAUGAGAAGCUUGNUUCUUAUCUCUUCGAGUGGCAAACGGGUGANUAACGCGUAAGCAACCUGCCCUCUAGAUGGGGACAACAGCUGGAAACGGCUGCUAUUACCGAAUCGUUUUUUCUGUCACAUGGCAGAAGGAAAAAAGGGAGGCUCUUCGGAGCUUUCGCUGGAGGAGGGGCUUGCGUCUGAUUAUCUAGUCGGAGGGGUAACCGCCCACCAAUNCGACGAUCAGUAGCCNGUCUGA